rnacentral:rRNA from 1 species
CCUACGGGCGGCAGCAGUGAGGAAUAUUGGUCAAUGGUCGGGAGACUGAACCAGCCAAGCCGCGUGAGGGAUGAAGGUACAGAGUAGCGUAAACAUCUUUUGUCAGGGAACAAAGGCGGGGACGCGUCCCCGGAAGAGAGUAACUGAAGAAAAAGCAUCGGCUAACUCCGUGCCAGCAGCCGAGGUAAUACGGAGGAUGCGAGCGUUAUCCGGUUUUAUGGGGUGUAAAGGGUGCGCAGGCGGUCUGUUAAGUCAGCGGUCAAAGCCCGGGGCUCAACCCCGGCCCGCCGUUGAAACUGGCAGUCUCGAGUUGGAGAGAAGUAUGCGGAAUGCGCGGUGUAGCGGUGAAAUGCAUAGAUAUCGCGCAGAACUCCGAUUGCGAAGGCAGCAUGCCGGCUCCACACUGACGCUGAGGCACGAAAGCGUGGGUAUCGAACAGGAUUGGAUACCCCUGUAGUC